UCGUUACGGAUUGUCCGUGGGGAUGUUUGGUUUAUACCAUGGUGAUAACCGAGAGAGGCAAUUGCUAAGUUGUGAUACUCUCAUACCUUUACUAGACGCGAGCAAUUCCGGAGAAGAAGAAGAAGUGGAAUUGGACAAGGAUUUUAUUUAUAUUGUUGGGAUUCUUAUAUUGAUGGAGUUGAAGAAGUACAGGGACAAAUAAGCCAAGGCAAGCCAUCUUUUGAUCUCUGAUCCGGUGUCUAGUUGGAUGUCAUUUGUUGAUGUUCAAAGCACCUUCAUUCUAUGUGUGUUAUUAUCUCUAUUUAUGUCAA